CAGCAGCCGCGGGAAUACGGAGGGGGCUAGCGUUGUUCGGAAUUACUGGGCGUAAAGCGCACGUAGGCGGCUUGGUAAGUUAGAGGUGAAAGCCCGGAGCUCAACUCCGGAAUUGCCUUUAAGACUGCCGAGCUAGUAGGUGAGAGAGGUAAGUGGAAUUCCGAGUGUAGAGGUGAAAUUCGUAGAUAUUCGGAAGAACACCAGUGGCGAAGGCGGCUUACUGGCUCAUUCUAGACGCUGAGGUGCGAAAGCGUGGGGAACAAACAGGAUUAGAUACCCCCGUAGUCCCUGUCUCUUAUAC
rnacentral:rRNA from 1 species